CCCUUAGAUGUUCUGGGCCGCACGCGCGCUACACUGAUUCAUGCAACAAGUUUUGUCCUUGGCUGAUAGGCCUGGGUAAUCUUUGGACGUGAAUCGUGAUGGGGAUAGAUGAUUGCAAUUAUUCAUCUUCAACGAGGAAUUCCUAGUAAACGCAAGUCAUCAGCUUGCAUUGAUUACGUCCCUGCCCUUUGUACACACCGCCCGUCGCACCUACCGAUUGAAUGGUCCGGUGAAAUCUUCGGAUCUGAGAGAUGUCUGAUUAAUUUCGGACGCCUUUUGGAAAAGUUGUUUAAACCUUACCAUUUAGAGGAAGGUGAAGUCGUAACA
rnacentral:rRNA from 1 species